GACGAACGCUGGCGGCGUGCCUAAUACAUGCAAGUCGAGCGAGUCUGCCUUGAAGAUCGGAGUGCUUGCACUCUGUGAAACAAGAUACAGGCUAGCGGCGGACGGGUGAGUAACACGUGGGUAACCUGCCCAAGAGAUCGGGAUAACACCUGGAAACAGAUGCUAAUACCGGAUAACAACAGAUGAUGCCUAUCAACUGUUUAAAAGAUGGUUCUGCUAUCACUCUUGGAUGGACCUGCGGUGCAAUAGCUAGUUGGUAGGGUAACGGCCUACCAAGGCGAUGAUGCAUAGCCGAGUUGAGAGACUGAUCGGCCACAUUGGGACUGAGACACGGCCCAAACUCCUACGGGAGGCAGCAGUAGGGAAUCUUCCACAAUGGACGCAAGUCUGAUGGAGCAACGCCGCGUGAGUGAAGAAGGGUUUCGGCUCGUAAAGCUCUGUUGUUGGUGAAGAAGGACAGGGGUAGUAACUGACCUUUGUUUGACGGUAAUCAAUGAGAAAGUCACGGCUAACUACGUG
rnacentral:rRNA from 1 species